CCCAGACUCCUACGGGAGGCAGCAGUGGGGAAUAUUGCACAAUGGGGGAAACCCUGAUGCAGCGACGCCGCGUGAGUGAGGAAGUAUUUCGGUAUGUAAAGCUCUCUCAGCAGGGAAGAAAAUGACGGUACCUGACUAAGAAGCCCCGGCUAACUACGUGCCAGCAGCCGCGGUAAUACGUAGGGGGCAAGCGUUAUCCGGAUUUACUGGGUGUAAAGGGAGCGUAGACGGCUAAUCAAGUCAGAAGUGAAAACCCAGGGCUCAACCUUGGGACUGCUUUUGAAACUGAGUAGCUAGAGUGCAGGAGAGGUAAGCGGAAUUCCUAGUGUAGCGGUGAAAUGCGUAGAUAUUAGGAGGAACACCAGUGGCGAAGGCGGCUUACUGGACUGUAACUGACGUUGAGGCUCGAAAGCGUGGGGAGCA
rnacentral:rRNA from 1 species